AUUGAACGCUGGCGGCAUGCUUUACACACGCAAGUCGAACGGUAACAGGGUGCUUGCACCGCUGACGAGUGGCGAACGGGUGAGUAAUGCGUCGGAACGUGCCGAGUAGUGGGGGAUAACGCAGUGAAAGUUGUGCUAAUACCGCAUACGUACUGAGGUAGAAAGUGGGGGACCUUCGGGCCUCACGCUAUUCGAGCGGCCGACGUCUGAUUAGCUAGUAGGUGAGGUAAAGGCUCACCUAGGCGACGAUCAGUAGCGGGUCUGAGAGGAUGAUCCGCCACACUGGGACUGAGACACGGCCCAGACUCCUACGGGAGGCAGCAGUGGGGAAUUUUGGACAGUGGGCGAAAGCCUGAUCCAGCCAUGCCGCGUGUCUGAAGAAGGCCUUCGGGUUGUAAAGGACUUUUGUCAGGGAGGAAAUCCCUAGUGCUAAUAACACUGGGGGAUGACAGUACCUGAAGAAUAAGCACCGGCUAACUACGUGCCAGCCGCCGCCGUAA
rnacentral:rRNA from 1 species